rnacentral:snoRNA from 1 species
UGCAAGUAAUAAUGAUAGUGUGCAACGAACCAAAAAGUAUGAUUAAUGCAAUUCCGGACACCGGAGGUCCAUG